rnacentral:ncRNA from 1 species
AUAGUCUUGCGGGUGCCUGUCACAUGCACAGGCUUAAAAGGGAAGCAGGUGUGAGACCUGCGCAGGACCGCUACUGUGAGCGCCGCCAACAUUUUGGCGCGUCCGAUAUGCCACUGGCUUCGGCUGGGAAGGCGGACGCGUCGGCGCGAGCCAGGAGACCUGCCCGCAUG